GAAAAAGUGCCUUCCAUCAUUUUUGACACACACGACAGAGUCUAGAAUCUGCUCUCGUCUUCCGUCUCUUCUAUUCCAACCGAUGGAGGAGUUUCAGUUCGCCUUCUUCAAACUUUCAACAAUACUCGUAGCUCUUUUCGUCUUCUUAUCUAUCUAUUAGAUUUCAGGCAUUAUUCGCUCAAUCCUUGCUCGCAUCUUCUUUGUUUUCUCUUUGUCUUCUUUUCUUUCUUUGCUACUUUUAGAUCUAUUUAACUGUUUUCAAUUUCAUGGAUAAAUUUCCUUGGAUUUUGUAUUUUCCAACCAGAUGAUGCGGAAUUACCAUUUUAAGGGCUAUUCUCCGUCCAAUUUCAUUGAUGUUGCCUUCUUCUUGCUGAUUCACCUCUAUCUCUUCUUCUUCAUAAGGUAUUGAAAUUUAUUGUUCUACUAACUUAAAACAAAAAGGAUAUUUAAUUUUACUCCUAAUUCAUGUUGUUCUUCCUUUUCUUUACAUUUUUUGUAUAUGUUAUAUUUCUAUGAAUUGUGAAUCGCGAGUAUGUUUUCAGGCUCUUCUUAACUGCCUCUGCGCACACCCCUCACUCUCCAUAGCCGAGGAAAAGAACAGUAAGAACUCAUGAUAACCUAAUUUUGAUAAAGCACUAAAAUUGGUGUAUGGGUUGAGAUUGAAAUAAAGUGAAUGAAUUAAGUCAAAUGGCUAUUGGGAAAAAUUUAUGCAUAUAAAUUUCUAUUGACAGAUUUUAUUCAUUAUUUCAUGUCUUAGGAAUGCUUAAUUAGGCUUAAGAUGAUUUGGGAACUUUUCUUAAAAGUUGUGUUCGAGCAACAUCUGAUUGUUUAAACUUAAAUUCAUUUAUCUGGCUACAAAUUUAUGGAAUAAGGAAGGUAUGUUAAAGGGCAUGUAAUGGGAUUGCUUUAUAUGAUGACUCAUUGUUGUUGAUGGGAUUUGAAAGUAGAGGAAUAUUUAAAAGUAGAGGAGUAGGAAGUAGAGCACCGAGGAUUGAUAAAGAUUGUAUGAAGUUGCAAGACACUAAUGGUCCAGAAAAAGGACGAGAAAAUAGCACAGAUAUCCAAAACUUUAAGAAGCAGACAAGAGGAAUAGAGAUGUAAGGACAUGUAUAAGAGGAUACCUAAGCCAAGGAAGUAGCUUAAUUUUUUUUAUUUUUUUAUUCCUUGUUUAUUGGCAUCCACUGAUACAAUGUGUGUUCAACUAUAAAUUAUAGUUGUUUGUCUUAUUGGAAAUUCUCAUUCACCCAUCUUUAAGCCUAAUUUGUCUUAUUUUCUACUGAUAUGUCCAUGUCUUAUUAUCAACAUAUGUUAUCUUCACCUAUACUUUCUUAUUAUUCUCUACUUUUAUGCAAUUUUAUUAGAAUAUUCUUUAAGUUUGUAUUUUAUUAAGAUAUUUUGUCCAAAAGUAUAAGUGACGGAUGGAUCUUUCCAUCUUGCAUACUUGACUGAUUGAUUCACUUGGUUACUUCUUGACAAUUGGUUUUUUCUCCUGUUAGUUCAGUACCGAAUGCAUAUGGAUUAUCAGGUUUGUAUAUUUAUCAGUGGAAAAUAUUAUUGCAUUCAUAAAUACACUUUGUUUUAACAUAAAUAUAGCAUGUAUUAAAACAUUCUUCCAUGAUGAUUACUUUCAACUUUUACAAAUUAAAACUAUUACAGGAACCUAGAAAAAGGAUUAUUUUCAAGGUCAUGAAAGAGUACUCAAAGGUCCUCCUCCAUCACUUCAAGUGGCAAAGGCUGUGAACUAUUUAACUUGGUACCCUUCUUUUUAUCCAUCAAGGCCUCUACAUGCUGCUCUUUACUUCCUUUUUGGGUGUAAGUUUUUUUUUCUUCAUAUUUAUGUUUAUCAUUGUGAUUAUUGAUGGUAAGGCCCAGCUCUCUUCGCAUUCAGUUUCUUAAAUCAAUUGGUGUGUUUGCUUUUGUGCUUUUAAUUUAUUUCAUCACUUUCAAGUUGUAGUUACAAGUUCAAAGAUCAAUUGAUUUUUUUUUAAUAUUCCGGAACAUAUGAUGACUAAUAGCUUGUUUGGCCAAGCUGCAAAAAUUAACUUAUUUUGAGAAGUGUUUUUUCUCAAAAGUGCUUUUUUCAAAAGUAUUUUUUGGUGAGAAUCAGUUUGUGUUUGGCUAAUUAAUUUGAAAAGCACUUCUGAGCAGCAAUUAGUAUUUGGCCAAGUUUUUAAAAACUGCUUCUAAGUGUAUUUUUCUUAAAAGUGCUUUUCAAAAAAGUGCUUUUGGAGAGAAGCUACUUUUUUCUGCUUCUCCAAAACUGCUUCUGCUUCUCCUCAAAAGCACUUUUCUUUCUUCAAAAAGCUUGGUCAAACACUUUAACUUUGAAAAAAAAGUACUUCUUUUAAAAAGAAAAGUGCUUUUGGCUUUGGAGAAGCUGGGCCAAACAGGCGAUAAGUCUAGCAUUCAAAAACUUUCCUCUUAGUUAGAAAAGGUAGUAUUGUAAUGCAUGAAAUAACUGGUGAUCGAGGAGGUUUUAUAUUCAUACUUUGAAAGUUCUAGCUUUGAUAUUGCCUAUUAUUUGUGGCUACAAGAGUUGCUUUAAUUUUUAUUUGGCUGAAUAGGUAGGGUGAUUUAUGAUACAAUAACAUGUCGUAGUAUGUACACUUUCGGAAAUAAGUACUUCGUAAAAUUGUACUAUUGUUAGGUAUUGAGUUUUAUUUGUGAAUUGAAGUAUAUAACUCUUUCGCACAGUGUAUUAAUACCAUGAGAUAUUUUUCCGUUCUAUGAGUUUAUCUACUAAGAUUAAGGACAAAUAAAAUAAGAAAUCAAGGAUAGUUUUGCAUAAUUAUUGUAGUGUAUUUGGUAACAGUGGCAUGGUAUAACUUUGUUUGUUUCCUUGGUUAUAAGUCUUUGCAAAUUAAAUAUAAUGUACUACAAAUGUAUUUAUAAAAAAGUGCAAUUUAUGCAAAAAGGGUGACAAGAACAAACCAAAAUUUUGAGGAAAAAAAAAAACAUAUUACCUAGGCUGAGUGCCAUUUCAAACAUAAGGUGCUCUUGCAGAUAGAAUAACACAAAAACGUCAUUAUUGUUACUUAGUUGAUCAACCAUUAGAAGUUUGUUGAUUGACCGUUGUUUGGGAAGUUCUAGAAUAAGUACCAUCUUGAGCUAACUAUCUUGAACACAAUUUUAUGUUUGAUUAUAUCUUCUUCAGUAUUUCGUGAACUCUAAAUUAUUUUCAUUGUUGACUCUGGUAGAAAUUGAUUAUUCAUCAAUGGGAGAUUUAAAAGAACCCCAUGACUGAGGUAUGUAUUAGGUCUUGAGCACUACCAGCUUACUCAAUAUAUUUAGAUAUAAAGAAUGUGUUUUAUUGUAAUUGUCUUGAAGAGUUUGUACUUGAAUUAAACUAUCUACUCAGUUUCCUUUCGAUAUUUGACUUAUGGAACUUCAGUUUGAUACUUUAUGUGAUAAAUACAGUCAAUAAAUCAAUCUAUCUAUGUCUUGAAACAGAGAAGAAACUUUUCAAUUAAGGUUUGUGAAGAAAAUGAGAAAAGCAAAGUGGAUCACUUUUUUAUAUUUCCCUUUUCGUGUAUUAGAAAAUUUUAUUAUUGACAAAGACCACACUAAGAUAAUGCUGAGAUGACAUAAAAGAAAUAUUAAUAUCAGUCCAUAUUUAUUCUUGCAGUGAUGACAAAAAAUAUAUCAAUGUAUUUACUUCAUAUCCUUAUAUGUUCUUUAUAACGAAUGAACUUUUUGUGUCACUUAAUAGUCAUAUGAUAUUAAUGUAUCUUUUUCUUUUAUAUGAGGGAAAGUAAAAUGCAUUGACCAACUUUUCUGGACAUCAUUUGCAUUUCACAUAAGUUGUGUCAGCAUUAGCUUAUCAAAGAAAACAUAAGGCUUAGCAUUUUUUCGAUUUUUUCGUUAAUUGUUAGGUGGUUAAAUCUUAAUGAUAGGAAGAUCCUAUACUGUUUUGAUAAAAUAUUAUAUUUGAUGUAUCUUUAGAUUGUAGUAACAGUGUCUUGCUAUAAAAGGCCAUAAUUUGACUCUUGAGUAUAGUAUUUUUCGAGUAGUUUAUUUGUGGUGAUCGCACUUAUCUCUUUAUGUCGUGAUAUUUUUCAAUUCUUGCUAUCAUUUAAUAUUUUCUAUCUCUAAAUAUUUGACUUCUUAUUCUCUACUUGGAAUAGGACAGGUUGUCUGAAGAACACAUAGUAGCAGAUGUAUGAAUGCAAUACACAAAAUAUUUGCCAUACUUUAUGUGGCUCUUAGUUGGACUAUGUUCUCUUUUGUUUAUAGUACAAACACGGAUAGCAACUGAUAUAUUUAGUUGAUCACGUAGCAUAAGAUAGUGGGUAGAAAACGAUGAAGAAAUAAGGCGUACUUGAGCUUGAGUUUGAUUUUGUAAGUAUAUUUAAAGGAAGUUGAAGAAAAGGAAAUAUUUAGCUCAAUUUUGAUAAAUCUAGG
rnacentral:lncRNA from 1 species